UCUGCUCAUCAAUGUGAUUGAGGCCCUCCGCAGGGCCAAGUUCAAGUUCCCUGGCCGCCAGAAGAUCCACAUCUCCAAGAAGUGGGGAUUUACUAAGUUUAAUGCAGAUGAAUUUGAAAACAUGGUGGCAGAAAAGCGGCUCAUCCCAGAUGGCUGUGGGGUCAAGUACAUCCCUAAUCGUGGCCCCCUGGACAAAUGGCGGGCCCUGCACUCGUGAGAGCCUUGGCGCUGCCCCCUGCCUACCCAUGCCCACCAAUAAACUCUACUUUCUUGUC